AGUUUAAUAUUGUAUAUAACAUAUCAAAUUGUAAAUUUGGAGAAAUGAAGAUUUAGACUA
rnacentral:tRNA from 1 species